rnacentral:rRNA from 1 species
UACGUAGGGUGCGAGCGUUGUCCGGAAUUAUUGGGCGUAAAGAGCUUGUAGGCGGUCUGUCGCGUCUGCUGUGAAAAUCCGGGGCUCAACCCCGGACUUGCAGUGGGUACGGGCAGACUAGAGUGUGGUAGGGGAGACUGGAAUUCCUGGUGUAGCGGUGAGAUGCGCAGAUAUCAGGAGGAACACCGAUGGCGAAGGCAGGUCUCUGGGCCACUACUGACGCUGAGAAGGGAAAGCAUGGGGAGCGAACAGG